rnacentral:rRNA from 1 species
UACAGAGGGUGCGAGCGUUGUCCGGAAUCACUGGGCGUAAAGGGCGCGUAGGCGGCUUGAUAAGCGUGCGGUGAAAGCCCGGGGCUCAACCCCGGGUCGGCCGUGCGAACUGUCGAGCUGGAGCACUGUAGAGGCAGGUGGAAUUCCGGGUGUAGCGGUGGAAUGCGUAGAGAUCCGGAAGAACACCGGUGGCGAAGGCGGCCUGCUGGGCAGUGGCUGACGCUGAGGCGCGACAGCCAGGGGAGCAAACGGG